GGCGCCGUGAAGCAGUUGGUUAAGCGCCAGUCUAGUAAACAGGAGAUCACGAGUUCGACUCUCGUCGGUGCCC